rnacentral:lncRNA from 1 species
UAUGCAAGCUCACUUAAGACAUUCAAGGAGGUCUGGAUCCUUUCCUCACUGCCCAGGCCCGGGCCCACCCCACCUUUAACCGUCAGGGUUCCCCACUACCUGGGAAGCCCCACACCCUCCAAAGAUGCGCUAGGUGCGCCAGACGCAUGCUCCUCUGCUCCGCUGGCUCCGAAGAACCAGAUCUGAGGCCAAGAUAAAACCCGAUUCCUGAUGUCCGACCCCCUAACAUUAGAAGUCGAGAGAUGAAGGGAAAACUCGGAAAUCAGAGCCAUGGAUUCAAACCAGCACUGGAAAAUGCCCCGGGACAGUUCGUGCUGAGCGCCUUAGCCACAGGAAACAUUUUCCUGGGCAUCUAAAAGUAUUGUGGACCUGAGACACUGUGCUUACAGGGCCUACUGGGUUGAUUCUAAAGAAGAAAGAAAAUCUAUAUGCAUGAAAAGAUGUCUUAAAAAGUUUUGAACUACUCAAAGUUAAGAUUUGGGGAAAUAGAAAUAGUAUAUAACUUAAGAAAAUUGCCACUGGCUGUGAACCCCCAUGGCAUUUUCUUUGCACUUUUUUGCUUCUCGUUAGAUUGUAUGUGUUUUUACCAUUUCACACAAACUUUUAAAGAUUAUUCCACGCCGUUAGCUCUGUGCUUCUAUUAGUGUCUCUAUCUCUCUUUCUCUCUCUCUUCCAUCUGAGUACAAUGGCUAGAAAAUAAUACACACUUGAAUGAAUAAAUGUCAUUUAAAUAUUUUAAUAAACAGAAGGAAUAGUAC